AGCGAACGCUGGCGGCAGGCUUAACACAUGCAAGUCGAACGCCCGUAGCAAUACGGGAGUGGCAGACGGGUGAGUAACGCGUGGGAACAUGCCCUUUGGUUCGGAAUAACUCAGGGAAACUUGAGCUAAUACCGGAUAAGCCCGAGAGGGGAAAGAUUUAUCGCCGAAGGAUUGGCCCGCGUCCGAUUAGCUAGUUGGUGAGGUAAUGGCUCACCAAGGCGACGAUCGGUAGCUGGUCUGAGAGGAUGAUCAGCCACACUGGGACUGAGACACGGCCCAGACUCCUACGGGAGGCAGCAGUGGGGAAUAUUGGACAAUGGGGGCAACCUUGAUCCAGCCAUGCCGCGUGAGUGAUGAAGGCCCUAGGGUUGUAAAGCUCUUUCGGCGGGGACGAUAAUGACGGUACCCGCAGAAGAAGCCCCGGCUAACUUCGUGCCAGCCGCCGCAGUAACAC
rnacentral:rRNA from 1 species